rnacentral:rRNA from 1 species
ACCCCGGGAGGGGAGUGAAAUAGAUCCUGAAACCGUGUGCAUACAAACAGUAGGAGCGGACUUGUUCCGUGACUGCGUACCUUUUGUAUAAUGGGUCAGCGACUUACAUUCAGUGGCAAGGUUAACCAUAUAGGGAAGCCGUAGAGAAAUCGAGUCCGAACAGGGCGAUAGUCGCUGGGUGUAGACCCGAAACCAAGUGAUCUACUCAUGGCCAGGAUGAAGGUGCGGUAACACGCACUGGAGGUCCGAACCCAC